CUUAAAAAAAAAUUGCUUCGGUUCUUCUUCCUCCACUCCUUCCCGCAGCUCGCGAGCCUCUCCUCCUCUCGACAGAGCCGCGCUCUUUACCUCCUCCCUCGGCUUCUUCUUCUCCGUCGACUUCUUCUUCCACCGCACGCGAGCACGGCGUCGCUCCUCCACGCACGACGCAGGCUUGUUCCUCCUCUUUCGCACAGUAGCAGAAUCUAUGGCAUCAUCUUUGUCGCUCUUCAUCCCGCGCCUCGCCCGCUGUACCAUCUUCCCCCGAUUUCCCUGCUUCACUCGUAAACUGCCCCUUAGGUUUCUAAAUCGAAGAAUCUCAAUAACUACUUCCCUCCAUUUAUUUUGCGCUGCCGCUUCCUCAUCCCCUUCCAUUCACACCUCUUCUCUUUCUCUUUCUUCUCCUGUGGCUGAAAAUCUAUCCCUUGAUCACACCUCCGAAAGCCUAGAAGAUUGUUCACUGCAAUGGGUCUCUCCAACUGACUCUUGCGGCGAGCUUGACGUCGAAGAUGUUGGCAGGCGCGUCCGACUUUGCGGCUGGGUCGCGCUUCGUAGAAUUCAUAGGGGGCUCACUUUUCUGAACCUCAGAGAUGACUCUGGAAUAGUUCAAAUUGCCACGCUGCCUGAUGAGCAUCCGGAUGCGCAUGCAGCCGCGAACAAGUUGGGGCUUGAGUGGGUCGUUGCCAUAGACGGUACUGUUCGAGCUCGACCUUUCGAGUCAGUUAACGAAAAGAUGAAAACUGGGGCGGUGGAGGUUGUUGCUGAGAAUGUUGUUGUGCUAAACACUGUCAACUGUACUCUACCUUUUCCAAUUACCACCGCUGAUGAUAUUAAGGAUAACAUCUCUGAGGAGAUACGGCUGAGAUAUCGAGCCCUUGAUUUACGAAGACCACAGAUGCAAUUCAACUUACGGCUGCGAUAUAAUGUGAUUGAGAGCAUUCGGGCUUUUCUAAAGAAGCAAAAUUUUGUCGAGCUUGAGACUCCAAUCUUGUCUAAAUCUACACCUGAAGGUGCUCGAGAUUACCUUGUGCCAUCUCGUGUUCAGCCAGGAACUUUUUAUGCAUUACCUCAAAGUCCACAAUUGUUUAAACAAAUGUGCAUGAUCGGAGGAUUCAGGAGAUAUUUUCAGAUAGCGAGAUGUUUUCGAGAUGAAGAUCUUAGAGCUGAUAGGCAGCCCGAGUUUACACAACUUGACAUGGAGUUCUCAUUCACAACAUUAGAAGACAUCUUAAAACUUAAUGAAGACCUGAUAAGACAUGUUUUUCAUGAGAUGAUCGGAAUAGAACUUCCAAACCCUUUCCCAAAGUUAACUUAUGUGGAAGCUAUGAGUCGGUAUGGGUCUGAUCGGCCAGACCUCCGGUUUAACCUUGAUUUAAAAACUGUCACGGACAUUUUCUUAGGGUGUAAUUUUCAAGUUUUUGCAGAAUCCAUAACGAACGGUGAGAUUAUCAAAGCAUUAUGUGUGCCUUUGGGUGCGGAAAAAUUAUCAAACACAGCCCUCAAAAAGGGUAAUAUAUAUAAUGAGGCAACAAAGGCUGGAGCUAAAGGUUUACCUUUCCUCAAGGUCCUGGAUGAUGGAGAGCUUGAUGGCUUUCCUGCUUUAGUUGCAAGCUUAGAUCCGGUAAAAAAGGAGCAAUUGAUGAGACUUGUUUCAGCUAAGUCUGGAGAUCUAAUUUUGUUUGCGGUGGGCCAUCAAGCUACUGUGAACAAGAUCCUUGACAGGCUCAGAUUGUUCAUAGCCAAUGAAUUGGGUUUGAUUGAUACUUUCUCCCAUUCAAUUCUUUGGGUAGUGGACUUUCCAAUGUUUGAGUGGAACUCUGAGGAACAAAGACUUGAGGCUCUUCACCAUCCAUUUACCGCCCCGAAUCCUGAAGACAUGGAUGACCUUCCUUCAGCUCGUGCUUUAGCCUAUGACAUGGUCUACAAUGGAAUUGAGAUUGGUGGGGGCAGUUUGAGAAUUCAUAAGCGUAAGGUUCAAGAGAAAGUCUUUGAAACUAUAGGCAUUCCACCUAGGCAGGCUGAAGAGAAAUUUGGUUACUUCUUGCAAACUCUAGAUCAGGGGGCACCUCCUCAUGGGGGGAUUGCAUAUGGUUUGGACAGGCUUGUGAUGCUUUUGGCUGGUGCAAGUUCAAUUAGAGAUGUAAUAGCUUUUCCAAAGACCACAACCUCUCAAUGUGCCUUGACGCAUGCGCCAUCAAAAGUAGACCCUCAACAAUUGAAGGAUCUAUCAUUCCGUCCAUGAUGACGUAAUGGCCUUGUGGAAUAGAGGGGAGGAGGAUGAUGGCCAAAGAUAUAUUUUGAAGGCAUCUAAUCAGGUUCUAAAAAAAUCAUUUGUUCACUAGUUCAUGAUUCUUAAGAAACCUCGAGUGCUUCAUGUCUUCUGUGCUCUACUCUUAAAUGUAAAACUAAACCAUAAUUUACAAAACUAAAUGGUUUGGAGAUAUCUCGCCAACGGCUUGUGCAUAUUUUGUGGUUUCAUACUUCAUUUAUUAUCCUUCAAUGCGAGGAAUUGACAUUCACAUUUCAAUAGGAGCAUGCUUGAUUAAUUUUUGCAAGGUUUGCUUAUAUACCACUCUAUUCUUAUGUAUUCACAUAUCUGUUUUCUAUUAUUUAAAUGUUAGUCAUUGUAUAUUUCACAUAUUUAUUAGAUAGCAGAAAUAUAUUCAAUGUAUUA